rnacentral:rRNA from 1 species
CCUACGGGAGGCUGCAGUCGAGAAUCAUUCACAAUGGGGGAAACCCUGAUGGUGCGACGCCGCGUGGGGGAAUGAAGGUCUUCGGAUUGUAAACCCCUGUCAUGUGGGAGCAAAUUAAAAAGAUAGUACCACAAGAGGAAGAGACGGCUAACUCUGUGCCAGCAGCCGCGGGAAUACAGAGGUCUCAAGCGUUGUUCGGAAUCACUGGGCGUAAAGCGUGCGUAGGCUGUUUCGUAAGUCGUGUGUGAAAGGCGCGGGCUCAACCCGCGGACGGCACAUGAUACUGCGAGACUAGAGUAAUGGAGGGGAAACCGGAAUUCUCGGUGUAGCAGUGAAAUGCGUAGAUAUCGAGAGGAACACUCGUGGCGAAGGCGGGUUCCUGGACAUUAACUGACGCUGAGGCACGAAGGCCAGGGGAGCGAAAGGGAUUAGAUACCCGAGUAGUC